rnacentral:misc_RNA from 1 species
AACCUUUUAUUUUACUGUUCACAGGCUGUCCUACAUCAGCUUGGUAUUAGAGCUUCAAGAUCCUUGUGUUUUGUCAUUUCAACUAUGGUGAUGAACACUGAAUUAAAUUCCAAAUAUGAUUAUUUUCAACAAGAGUUUAGUUCCUUUUGUCAAGAUAAUAAAGAUAUGAAGCCGGAAAUGGACUCGAUGGAAGCUAAGCUGGAUAGGAUCUUAAGAUAAGAUAAUGUCAUCUAUGAACUCUAGUGAGCAACUAUUAGGACCAACAAUUAGUCAAGUUCCUCAAGCUACACUUAGGCUUGAUACAGGGAAACCAAAA